ACAUCAACUUAAAUAUGAUUACACGCUAAACUUAAGCAUAUCAGUCAGCGUAGUAAAUAAAAACUAACAAUGAUUCCUAUAGUAUUGGCGAGAGAAGUAGGAUAUUGUAUAAAACUCGUAAAGUUUAAUCAAAAUAAUAAACAUAAUAUUAUUUAUUUAAUAUUAACAUGUUUAUUAUGAAUUGUAACUAUAUAAUAAAAUAUAUUAUUGACUAUUUAUAUUAAUAAAUAUUUCAUUUAAUAUUGGAAAAUAUAUUAUUUAUACCAGAGAAUGUGAUAGUCAUGUUUAUAAAUAUAUAUAAUAUAUAAUAUUUAAUAUAAUAUUGAGUCAUGCUAAUUGGGACUUUAGCAUAAAUAAAUAUUAUUGGUGGUAAUGUAUACACAUCAAAAGUUAAAUAAUUGUAAUUAUUAUAAUUGUAAUAGUAACCGAUAGUAUACAAGUACCGUAAGGGAAUAAUGAAAAGCACCUUAGUUACCACAUGAUAGAGGGAUUGAAAUAGAAAGUGAAAUUGCCAAUAUAAAAUAUACUUUACAUGUAAUAUAAUCAAACAGAAUGACUGUUAUUUUUUUAGACUAUAAUAUUAAUAUAUAAUAUUAUAUGUAUUUAAAUAUAAAUAUUUAUAUAUAUUUAUUAUAGUCAUAACUAUUUGACCCGUCUUGUAACACGGACCAAGGAGUUCAAUUCAAAUGCAAGUAUUAUUAUAUUAAUGAUAUAAUGAAUACAUAAUGAAAGUAAGUCAAAAUAAUAUUAAAUAUAAUCAUAUUAAGUAGUAAUAUUGAAUUUCAUUAUUACAUUUUAAUAUAGAUUUAUAGUAUUUUAAUUGAGACCCGAAAGAUGGUGAACUAUACAUGAACAUGGUGAAGCCAGGUGAAAACUUGGUGGAAGCUUGCGUUGUGCGAAACUGACGUGCAAAUCGUUACCGCCUGAUUUAUGUAUAGGGGCGAAAGACUCAUCGAACCAUCUAGUAGCUGGUUUCCUCUGAAAUUUCCCUUAGGAUCGCUCAAAUUAAUUAUUUAAAAAAGUAACACAAUGGGUAAAGCAAUGAGACGCGGUAUCUGUGGGUCUUUCACAUUACGACCUCGGCCUUCUCUCAAACUUUAAAUCUGUCCGUAUAUAUAAUAUAUUUAUACAAUAUUAUAUAUUAUAUUAAUAAUUUGUAGUGGGCCAUUUCUGGUAAGCAGAACUGGCGAUGAGGGAUACAACCUGACAUUAAGUUAAGCCGGGCUUAAUUAUAUCUGUUCUAACUUUCCGAUAAACGCGAAAGGGUGUUCUAUGUGGUGUAGAAAGUAGGACGGUGGCCAUGGAAGUCGGAAUCCGCAUAAGGAAUGUGUAAUAACUCACCUACAGAAUCACAUCGCCCCUAAAACGGAUGGCGCUCAAGCAGUUAUAUAAUAUAAUACCCAAGACUUAAUCAUUUAAUUAUAAUAUUAAAUGUGUAAGAGUAUUAAUAAAUAUAUAGAUAUCCAAUAUUUUGAAGAGGUAAGCAUUAAUGCACCUUUGAAUUAUCUAUAUUACAGAUCUUGGUACUAGUAGCAAGGAGUCUUAUUGAAACACAAGAAUAAAUAUCAACCAAAGAUGACCCAAGUGGAGAAAGGUUUCACAUUAUAGCUUAAUGCAAUGUGAGUUAGUCAUUCAUAAAAACAUUAAUAUAUUAAUGUUUAAAUGGGAAUUAUGUUAAUAUUCAUAAACCAAUAUAUAUAUAUAAAAAUGUAAAUGUAAUUAUAUAAGUAACUUAAUAUAAAAGUCCUAAUAAGGUUAUCUAACUUAUUUAAUAUCAACAAACAAAAUAAUUAUUGAACAGUAUUUACUAAAAGAUAUAAUUAUUUAUUAAUAAAAUAAUAUAUAUUAUAUUCAUAAAUGUAAUAUAAUGAUAUAUAUUAAUUGGUACUUUUAUAUGCUUUAACCGUGAAAAACUUAUAUAAUAUAAUAUAUAUUGUAUGUACUAAUAACCGCAUCAGGUCUCCAAGGUUUAUAACCUUUGGUCGUAUAAAUACACAGUGAGUAAGGGAAGUCGGCAAAUUUGGUCCGUACUUACGAUAUAAGGACUGGCUCCGAAGAU
rnacentral:rRNA from 1 species